rnacentral:rRNA from 1 species
AUUACCGCGGCUGCUGGCACGUAGUUAGCCGUGGCUUAUUCUUCAGGUACCGUCAUUUAUUCGUCCCUGACUAAAGAAGUUUACAAUCCGAAGACCUUCAUCCUUCACGCGGCGUUGCUGCAUCAGGGUUUCCCCCAUUGUGCAAUAUUCCCCACUGCUGCCUCCCGUAGG